rnacentral:rRNA from 1 species
CACGUAGGCGGUUUGCUAAGUCAGAUGUGAAAGCCCCGGGCUCAACCUGGGAAUUGCAUCUGAUACUGGUAGGCUAGAAUGCAGUAGAGGGAGGUGGAAUUUCCGGUGUAGCGGUGAAAUGCGUAGAGAUCGGAAGGAACACCAGUGGCGAAGGCGGCCUCCUGGACUGACAUUGACGCUGAGGUGCGAAAGCGUGGGGAGCAAACA